rnacentral:rRNA from 1 species
UACGGGGGGGGCAAGCGUUGUUCGGAAUUACUGGGCGUAAAGGGCGCGUAGGCGGGUGGACAAGUCUCUCGUGAAAGCCCACGGCUCAACCGUGGAAUUGCGGGAGAUACUGUCUGUCUUGAAUCCGGGAGAGGAGGGUGGAAUUCCCAGUGUAGCGGUGAAAUGCGUAGAUAUUGGGAGGAACACCGGUGGCGAAGGCGGCUCACUGGACCUGUACUGACGCUGAGGCGCGAAAGCUAGGGGAGCAAACGGG